CUGGGAUACAGGUGUGAGCCACAGAACUCGGCCUCUCUCUUUUUUUUUUUUUAACACUGCAGGUUUCACAUGAAUACUUUUCUUAUGUUGCUUUCAGAGGUUCAGGACUUCUGCUUUUAAAACCUGCAGCCUACCAUGGGAGACCAAAAAAGCAUUCCCUAUUUCCAACUGCAUUGUCAUUCUACUGUAAGGAAGAGGUUUCCCUUUAUCAUCAACUUCGAAAGGAACAUGCACGCUGGUUUGCAGAUCCCUUGCAGUGACUCUACAGCUCCCAGGAAUCUGAGGUUCACAAGGUGAAACCUACCAAGCCAAACAAUUUAAAAUUGCUUUUGUUUUGAAAAUCCAAUAAGUAUGAUGGCAAUGUCUUGCAGAAAUUCCUCUUUUAGUAUUCCAGUCUGUGGACUCUGGCAGAAGUAAUAGUCUGCUGCAAACAGAUCACUCUUUUUUGUUUGCAAAGUCUUCAUACCAGCUGAAUCACAGCUUGCUUUUCACUUUUCGUAACACCUUGCAACAUCGCAAAAUAUUUGCUGGAGUUUGUGAAGGGCGGCUGCAGAAUUAGUAAACUGAAAGGAGGCCUUCCUUUACUCCCACCCCUGUCAGCACCUUCUGUUCUAGCAGACCGAAAGGCAGCUUGAGAACUCUGAUUGCUUCUCCAGAUUAUGACAAUUCUUGGCACCACCGCCCGGGGCAAGAAUGGAAGCAAAGGAAACAUUAUGGAGUUUUGCAGGUGCCAGUACAUAAUAUUGUCACUGUACAAAAUUGAAUUUAUAAAUGACUUCAUGAAGGUGAGUUGCUAUGGUAACCGGCCUUCUCAACUUUUAUAUCUGGAAGUAAGGAUCAUAUGGCCACUUCCAUUUGGGACCAUGUAUUCUGGGUUUAAUGAAUAACUACCCAUCCUCUAACUUCUAGUUAACUAGGCUCAUGGGAUGCUAGACCAGGAAGCAACAUUAGCAACCAUCUCCUUCCACCUCCUUCAUUCAUAGAUGGGAACUGAGACACAGAGAAGUGGCGCUACACAGCUAACGUGUCAGCCCUGAGCCUAUGGUUUCUCACUUAGUUUUCUUUUUUUCAAAAUGAGUGAUUUUUGCAAGCCAGUUUACUUAUAUAUUGUUAUUUUUAAACAUUUUAGAUUGAGAGGAUCCAUAUGCAUAUUUGUUACAUUGUGUGCUGAUGGGGAUUGGGCUUUAUGUUAGUCAGCGUUCUCCAGAGGAAUGUUUUCUUGCUUAGUUUUCUAGUACUAUUUUCUUUCUGCCACACUGAGUUUCUGAAGGGAUGCACCCAGCUUCCACGAGUGGAUAAGAGAGAUGGAACCACAGUUAGACAUAGGGCCACCGUCACUUCUUACUGAGAUGUUAAAACAAGUCCUGUCCACGUGCUGGUGUGUGAAGUGUCUAAUUUUCUUUAUCAGAGUUAUUACAAAUUCCACAUGACAACAACUUUCAUUGAUUCAAAAUGAUGUAUGCGGGGACAGUGUGGGGAGGUGGGGAAUGACCUGAGGAAAUGUGAUCUAGUAUUGUGGUUCCGUAGUCUACCAUACAUAGAUUAGCAAUCUGCAAAGAAUUAGACUGUACCCGAAUUAUAGUGAACAUAACGUAAACUUCCUUUAGUCACUCAAAAAAAUAUAUCUUUGGUUUUUUAAAGCCUAGUUUCUUGAACAAUAAUUGCUGUUUCAUAAAUACAUGAAAAGGUGCUUUGGAUAAGAGCUUUCCUUCCAGUUAAGAAAUCACCAGGUCACAGAAGAUUUAGCUAUUAGGAGUUUCCAUAGAUUCUUGGAGUGAAGAAUGGCAGAAGCUUAGAGUAUUUAGUACAUCUUCUAAAAGCAAAUCAAAAUGCAAAAUUAAAACUAAACAAUGAAAUUAGAGUGUUCGUUCAUUCUAAAGAGAUAUGAAUACAAACACUGGAUCCUCAACAGUCUUUAAACAUCGCAGAUCACCUGGAUAUCUUGUUAAAAUGCAGAUUCUGGUUCAGGAGGUCAGGGAAGAGACCCAAGAUUCUGCAUUGCUAACAAGCUGUCGGGUGGUAUCAGUGCCGCUUGUCCUUGGUCUAUACCUUGAGUAGAAAGGGACUAGUUAACUUGCUGUCUCCUUGAAUGUGUUUUCUGUGAGGGUCGGCCCUGACCACCCCAGUCACAGGAAUCUUUCUGGCCUCCGGAUUCCUAGUGCUCAUAUUGUAUAUAUCGUCCACAAAGUACUUAGGUACUGCUGUAUAUUGGUAUGUCCCAUAUGUGCAUGUCUUCUGUCCCCAACCAGAUUGUAAGCCCAUCUGUGUUUGCUCAGCCCUGUGUGUGCAAUAGAGGUGCUGAAUGAAGAACUAUCGAUGA